rnacentral:rRNA from 1 species
UACGUAGGGUGCAGGCGUUAAUCGGAAUUACUGGGCGUAAAGCGUGCGCAGGCGGUUUCUUAAGUCAGAUGUGAAAGCCCCGGGCUUAACCUGGGAACUGCGUUUGAAACUGGGAGACUUGAGUGUGGCAGAGGGGGGUGGAAUUCCACGUGUAGCAGUGAAAUGCGUAGAUAUGUGGAGGAACACCGAUGGCGAAGGCAGCCCCCUGGGUUAGCACUGACGCUCAUGCACGAAAGCGUGGGGAGCAAACAGG